GGAAAGGGCCACAGAUUUCCAGGGUAAGCUCUGGCACUGCUUUUUUUUCCAUCAGCUUUCUUAAUUUUUCUUGUAUUCUGAAGUGCAUCAAAGAAGAGAACACAGAGAAAGUUGUCUGUAUUGUUUGCUUCUUGUCGGUGUUAAUCAUUUAAUGCUGAUUACUUGCUUAGAGCACAAUUUCUGUGCAAAGAAACCAACCAAGGAAAUGUAAUCCUGUCUAAAAUUUGCAAGUGAAAGGGCAAUGGGGGUCUAAGAAAGCAUUAAAGCCUUUCAGAUGAUAUUUGGCAGCUGAAGGCACGAGAACUCUUAAAUCUUUCUCAAUUUGUAGUGAUUAGUAAAUAUUACACAUGACUUUCUAGGAGUUUUGCUUUUCCUUUUAUGCCAUCUCUGUCUUCUGACAGCAGAACUGGAAAUUCUGGCAGUUGUGACUGGAAUGUUAAGAACUGAACGAGGUGUUUUUAGUCAGUAGGAUUCAUUAGCUGGUUUUGCUUGAGUUGUGUAAUAUCAUCAUUAUUAUAGAUAUACUUACAGAAUUAAUUUGCUUUGCUUUUACAAGACAGAACAGAAUUUCUUACAUAUUUAUUACUUGGUGAUUAAGCAACAGUAAACCCUUUACUUCUAAGCAGGAGAUUUUUCUCAAAACACCUAAAUUUUUUUUAUUUCAUGUAUUCAGUCCUUCUCCCCCCACCUUGCUGGAGUUUUUGAUAAUAGAUUCUUGGCUUUUUCUACUGCUUCUUGGAUAAAGUAAUGAAAAGGAAGCCAACAAUGGUAAUCAAACUGCAUUAUAGCAAAGCUCUGCCUUUCAGCUCCCAAUUGCUGCAGAAAUCGGGCCCAAUUCAUUCCAUGUAAAUGAAAUUUCCUUCCUCUUUUCACAAACAUGUUCCCCAAAUACUGUGUAUUUCUUCUCAUUAAUUCAGGGAAAAGCUCAACUUUGAAACUCAGCAAUUAUUAGGAGUUCUCUGGGCUGCAGAAGAUGGCAAAAGUAGCUGAGGACACCAAUAAAUACAGUAGCCACACACAUCUUGCUGCUCCUCCUUCUAAUUUCACUGCCAACAAGGAGCAGACAAAGUGAACAAUAAAUGGACUUGUUAGAGCUGUUAGGAAAAAAAAAAAAUCCAAAAAUGCAGUGCACGUGCUUUUUACUAUGUGAUCAAAAUGGUUUUCUCUUUUUUACCUGACAGGUUUCUUGAUGUUUUCUUUAUUCCAGGUUCUUUUUUGGGCAGGAGAAAUUCAUAGCCAAGUCCUGUCUGCUUACACAAAGGCUCCAUUGCUCCUAACUUUGUGAUGAAUGGCCAGCUCGAGUGUGAGAGAGAAAACCAUAUUUUUAUCCAGAAAUCUGUGCUCCUGCCAACAAUCUUCAUUCUCUUUGUGCAAGAAAUAAACCAGUUUUCUAC